GACGAACGCUGGCGGCGUGCCUAAUACAUGCAAGUAGGACGCAGUUGCGAACGGGUGAGUAACGCGUAGGUCACUGCCUAUUAGAGGGGGAUAACUAUUGGAAACGAUAGCUAAUACCGCCUACUAGUAGAUGGACCUGCGUUGUAUUAGCUAGUAGGUAGGGUAAUGGCCUACCUAGGCGAAGAUACAUAGGCGACCUGGGGGGGUGGUCGGCCAAACCGGGACUGGGGCACGGCCCAGACGCCUAAGGGGGGGAGCAGGUGGGGAUCAUCGGAAAUGGGGGGAACCCUGAACGAGCACAGCCGGGGGGGUGAAAAAGGGUUUCGGAUCGUAAAGCUCUGUUGUUAAGGGAGCGGUACUUAACCAGAAAGGAACGGCUAACUACGUGCCAGCAGCCGCGGUAAUAC
rnacentral:rRNA from 1 species